rnacentral:ncRNA from 1 species
UAAAAGUCUGGUCCUGACUUUAAUAUCAGUUAUGGUUUAACUUACACAUGCAAGUCUCCGCACCCCCGUGAAAAUGCCCUACACCUCAACUGAGCACUAGGAGCGGGUAUCAGGCACACUUAAAUGUAGCCCAAAACGCCUUGUUUAACCACAUCUCCAAAGACCCCCCAGCAGUGAUAAACAUUAAGCUAUAAGUGUAAACUUGACUUAAUUAAAACCGAUACUUAAGAGCCGGUAAAACUCGUGCCAGCCACCGCGGUUAUACGAGCAGGCCCAAAUUGAUAUUACACGGCGUAAAGCGUGAUUAGAAAACUAUUAAACUAAAGUUAAACAUGUCUCAAGCUGUCAUACGCUACCGGAUAAAUGAAACCCCGCCACGAAAGUAACUUUAAUAUGUCUGAACUCACGAAAAUUAAGAAACAAACUGGGAUUAGAUACCCCACUAUGCUUAACCAUAAACAAUGGUGUUUUUAUACAAUAACACCCGCCAGGGGACUACAAGUACUAGCUUGAAACCCAAAGGACUUGGCGGCGCCUCAAACCCACCUAGAGGAGCCUGUUCUAUAAUUGAUUCUCCCCGUUAAACCUCACCACCUCUUGCUAACCCCGCCUAUAUACCGCCGUCGUCAGCCUACCUUUUGAAAGACCAAAAGUAGGCACAAUGAGAUCUCCCCCAAAACGUCAGGUCAAGGUGUAGCGAAUGAGAUGGGAUAAAAUGGGCUACAUUUUCUGACUCAGAAAAUUACGAAAAAUGUAAUGAAAUAUACAUUAGAAGGAGGAUUUAGUAGUAAAAAGAAAAUAGAGAGUUCUUUUGAAUCCGGCCAUGAAGCGCGUACACACCGCCCGUCACUCUCCUCGACUAAUAAAACAACUUACCUAAAACUUCAUCAAAAACAAAGAGGAGAUAAGUCGUAACAAGGUAAGUGUACCGGAAGGUGCGCUUGGAUAAAU